AAUGAACGCUGGCGGCGUGCCUAAAAAAUGCAAGUCGAACGAAGUGGCGCACGGGAGAGUAAUAUAUAGUUAAUCUGCCCUACACAGAGGAACAACAGUUGGAAACGAAUGCUAAUACCUCAUAGUGUAGGAUGAGAAUAUAUCGUAUCAGCUAGUUGGUAAGGUAAUGGCUUACCAAGGCUAUGACGCGUAACUGGUCUGAGAGGAUGAUCAGUCACAUUGGAACUGAGCCACGGUCCAGACUCCUACGGGAGGCAGCAGUAAGGAAUAUUGCGCAAUUGGGGAAACCCUGACGCAUCAUCUCCGCUUGGAGGCUUACACUUUUCGGAGCGUAACCUCCUUUCAUCAGGAAAGCGGUGCCUAAUGGAUAAGCACCGGCUGACUCCGUGUCAGCAGCCGCGGUAAUUC
rnacentral:rRNA from 1 species